rnacentral:snRNA from 1 species
UUGCUCGCUUCAGCAGCACAUAUACUAAAAUUGGAAUGAUACAGAGAAGAUUAGCAUGGCCCCUGUGCAAGGAUGACAUGCAAAUUCGUGAAGCGUUCCAUAUUUAA